AGCGAACGCUGGCGGCAAGCCUAACACAUGCAAGUCGAACGAACCUUUCGGGGUUAGUGGCGGACGGGUGAGUAACACGUGGGAACGUGCCUUUAGGUUCGGAAUAACUCAGGGAAACUUGUGCUAAUACCGAAUGUGCCCUUCGGGGGAAAGAUUUAUCGCCUUUAGAGCGGCCCGCGUCUGAUUAGCUAGUUGGUUGAGGUAAUGGCUCACCAAGGCGACGAUCAGUAGCUGGUCUGAGAGGAUGAUCAGCCACAUUGGGACUGAGACACGGCCCAAACUCCUACGGGAGGCAGCAGUGGGGAAUCUUGCGCAAUGGGCGAAAGCCUGACGCAGCCAUGCCGCGUGAAUGAUGAAGGUCUUAGGAUUGUAAAAUUCUUUCACCGGGGACGAUAAUGACGGUACCCGGAGAAGAAGCCCCGGCUAACUUCGUG
rnacentral:rRNA from 1 species